rnacentral:rRNA from 1 species
ACGGGAGGCAGCAGUGGGGAAUAUUGGACAAUGGAGGAAACUCUGAUCCAGCGACGCCGCGUGAGUGAAGAAGUAUUUCGGUAUGUAAAGCUCUAUCAGCAGGGAAGAUAAUGACGGUACCUGACUAAGAAGCCCCGGCUAACUACGUGCCAGCAGCCGCGGUAAUACGUAGGGGGCAAGCGUUAUCCGGAUUUACUGGGUGUAAAGGGAGCGUAGACGGAUCGGCAAGUCUGAUGUGAAAGGCUGGGGCUCAACCCCGGGACUGCAUUGGAAACUGUCAGUCUUGAGUGCCGGAGGGGUAAGCGGAGUUCCUAGUGUAGCGGUGAAAUGCGUAGAUAUUAGGAGGAACACCAGUGGCGAAGGCGGCUUACUGGACGGUAACUGACGUUGAGGCUUGAAAGCGUGGGGAGCAAACAGGAUUAGAUACCCUGGUA